rnacentral:tRNA from 1 species
GUUUCUAUAGUUUAAAAUAAAAUAUGAUAGUGAAAAUAUCAAGAUAUAAGGUUUAGGAAUA